GAGAGGAGAGGAGGCAAGGAGAGGAGUAGAGAAGAGCAGAGAGGAGCAGAGAGGAGGAGAGGAGAGGAGCAGAGAGGAGGCGAGGAGAGGAGCAGAGAGGGGGUGGGGAGAGGAGCAGAGAGGAGGUGAGGAGAGGAGCAGAGAGGAGGUGAGGAGAGGAGCAGAGAGGAAGUUAGGAGAGGAGCAGAGAGGAAGUGAGGAGAGGAGCAGAGAGGAGGUGAGGAGAGGAGCAGAGAGGAAGUGAGGAGAGGAGCAGAGAGGAGGUGAGGACAGGAGCAGAGAGGAGAAGAGCAUAGAGGAGGAAAGGAGAGGAGCAUAGAGGAGGAGAGGAGAGGAGCAGAGAGGAGGAGAGGAG
ensembl:lncRNA